rnacentral:rRNA from 1 species
GUUGAACGCUGGCGGCAGGCCUAACACAUGCAAGUCGAACGAGUGGCGGACGGGUGAGUGAUGUCUGGGAAACUGCCCGAUGGCAGGGGAUAACUACUGGAAACGGUGGCUAAUACCGCAUCCCAUCGGAUGUGCACAGAUGGGAUUAGCUUGUAGGUGAGGUAACGGCUCACCUAGGCGACGAUCCCUAGCUGGUAUGAGAGGAUGACCAGCCACAUGGGAAUUGAGCCACGGGCCAGACUCCUACGGGAGGCAGCAGUGGGGAACAUGGCACAAGGGGUGCAAGCCUGAUGCAGCCAUGCCGCGGGUAUGAAGCAGGCCUUCGGGUGGUAAAGUACGUUCAGCGGGGAGGCGGUACCCGCAUAAGAAGCACCGGCUAACUCCGUGCCAGCAGCCGCGGUAAUAC